rnacentral:rRNA from 1 species
GGGGGGGGGGGGGGGGGGGGGGGAGGGGGGCGGGGGGGACGGGAAGGGGGUGCGGUUGGGGGGUGGGGGAGUGGUGGACGGGUGGGUGGCACGUGGGUCACGUGCCCUUGACUUGGGGGGAAGUUCGGGAAACUGGGGCUAGGAGCGGCUAGGCGCUCCUGCGUCAUGGUGGGGGUUGGAAGGGUUCGGCGGUUAGGGAGGGCCUCGGGGCUGAUCAGGUUGUGGGUGGGGUCGGGGCCUACGAAGGCGUUGGCGGGUGGCCGGCCUUGGAGGGUGACCGGCCACAUUGGGACUGAGAUACGGCCCAGACUCCUACGGGAGGCAGCAGUGGGGAAUAUUGCACAAUGGGCGGAAGCCUGAUGCAGCAACGCCGCGGUCGGGAUGACGGCCUUCGGGUUGUAAACCGCUUUCGCCUGUGACGAAGCGUGAGUGACGGUAAUGGGUAAAGAAGCACCGGCUAACUACGUG